rnacentral:rRNA from 1 species
UACGUAGGUGGCAAGCGUUGUUCGGAUUCAUUGGGCGUAAAGGGCGCGUAGGCGGCGGGGUAAGUCUGGUGUGAAAUCUCGGAGCUCAACUCCGAAAUUGCACUGGAUACUGCUCUGCUAGAGGGCUGGAGAGGAGAUCGGAAUUCACGGUGUAGCAGUGAAAUGCGUAGAUAUCGUGAGGAAGACCAGUGGCGAAGGCGGAUCUCUGGACAGCUCCUGACGCUGAGGCGCGAAGGCUAGGGGAGCAAACGGG